CAUCUCUUUUUGUUUAUAUAUAAAGUAUGACCUGCCCACUGAUUUAUUUGAAGGGCCGCGGUAACCUGACCGUGCAAAGGUAGCAUAAUCAUUAGUUUCUUAAUUAGAGGCUGGAAUGAAUGGUUGGACGAAAUAUGAGCUAUCUCAUUAUUUUUAUUAGAAUUUAAUUAUUAAGUAAAAAAGCUUAAAUAUUGUUAUGGGACGAGAAGACCCUAUAGAGUUUAAUAUUGUAAUUUUUAGAUUAGUUUUGUUUCGCAAUAUUAAUUAUAAUUUUUUGUUGGGGUGACAAGGAAGAUAUAAAUAACUUCUUUUUAUUGAUAAUAAUUAAUUUAUAGAAUUUUGAUCCAUUUAUAAUGAUUAUAAGACUAAAUUACCUUAGGG
rnacentral:rRNA from 1 species